UGGGGAAGUUUAUGGACAAUGGGCGCAAGCCUGAUCCAGCAAUGCCGCGUGCAGGAAGAAGGCCUUCGGGUUGUAAACUGCUUUUGUCAGGGAAGAAAUCUUCUGGGUUAAUACCUCGGGAGGAUGACGGUACCUGAAGAAUAAGCACCGGCUAACUACGUGCCAGCAGCCGCGGUAAUACGUAGGGUGCGAGCGUUAAUCGGAAUUACUGGGCGUAAAGCGUGCGCAGGCGGCUUUGCAAGACAGAUGUGAAAUCCCGGCUCA
rnacentral:rRNA from 1 species